AAUGGCAUACGAAUUUCAGAGUCUCGUGAGCUCUCGCCCACCCCCCUACCCCCCACCCUCACGGUACUCUAUACCUGUACAAUAAUAUGCCGUUGUUUAGUAUUGUUUUUAUUUUUUUUUAUUAUCCUCCGUCCAUGUAUAAUACAGCGUAUACGUGUCGUUUUUUCGCCGGUAACGAUACAUUUCUCCGCGGCCAUAAUUUAAAACUGUCGAAAUUCUUCGCCGAACCGCGCGAUAAAUUUUAUUUCCCCCCCCCCCUCACUACACCGCGCCUAUUCUGUAUACCUACGCGGUCCGUAUAUUCUUAUUCGGCACCGAUUUCUCUUGCGGCACCGAGUAUAU